rnacentral:rRNA from 1 species
GAGUUUGAUCCUGGCUCAGAUUGAACGCUGGCGGCAUGCCUUACACAUGCAAGUCGAACGGCAGCACGGGAGCUUGCUCCUGGUGGCGAGUGGCGAACGGGUGAGUAAUGCAUCGGAACGUAUCCUGGAGUGGGGGAUAACCGUAGCGAAAGUUACGCUAAUACCGCAUAUUCUGUGAGCAGGAAAGCGGGGGACCUUCGGGCCUCGCGCUCUUGGAGCGGCCGAUGUCGGAUUAGCUAGUUGGUGAGGUAAAGGCUCACCAAGGCGACGAUCCGUAGCAGGUCUGAGAGGAUGAUCUGCCACACUGGAACUGAGACACGGUCCAGACUCCUACGGGAGGCAGCAGUGGGAAUUUUGGACAAUGGGGCAACCCUGAUCCAGCCAUGCCGCGUGAGUGAAGAAGGCCUCGGUUGUAA